CUUACUCAAUUUUAAAUUUAUAAUUUAUAAUUUGUCAGCGAAUUAUAAAAAUAGAGACACUAUGUAUUAACAUGUCUCACCAUAAAAUAGGGAAUACAAACUAACUUUAAUUUAUAAUAAUAAUUUUUUUUCCAGUGAAUAUCCGAGCAUUGCUCAAGCAAAGAAAUACGAAGUAGUAAGUAGUAUAAUAAGUUUCCCUAAAAAAAAAAAAAAGUACGGACUAGUAUAAUAAGUUGUUGCCUCCAAAUAACACAAUAACCAAUUACUUCGUAUAUAACUUCUUAAUUCCUUAUUCACGGCAAACUUGAUACUCUUCUUCCUCACCAAAAAAAAAUAACAAAAAACGAAGGCCAAGUUCAAUUCAGAACAUCAGAUCAAACUGUCGCAGUCGUCUUCAUCUGCCGCCGCUGCGCCAUCUAUCUCUUCCCCGGUUAGUUACGCAUGCUUCCUUUUCCUACCGUCCAUUCCAUCUUUCUCAUAUUGCAAUUUGCUAAUUGCGAUUUAGGGGUAUCAUUGAGUAUUUUAUCCAAAUUUUGAUUUUAGUUUAGUUUCGUUUGCGAAUUGCGAACUGAUUUUAAAUUACGAAUUGAAUGAGUAGUGAAUUGAUUUUAACCUGGUUUAUUGAGAACUGAUUGAAUUGAUUUUAAUCUGGCUGCCAAUUGCGAGGUUCAUUUUUGGAAGUCAAUUAAUGUAAAACCAUUCAAACAUGAUUGAUUAUGCAAAAAGCCCUAAUUAUUUUCAAUUUCUCUAUGAUUUACUAUAUACUUUGCAUUUAAACUGUCAGUUGCUUUGCAAAUUAGGCAAUAUAAGAUUUUGUGUAUACUGUAUAUUGAUGGGUGAAUGGAAAGUGGCGUCAAGGAGUUUGAACUGCAACCCCAAUGAAACCCUGAAACCAUGCUAGCUAUUGUAAUGUGUGCUAUUUUGUUUACUUCCUCAAAAAUGUCAUGGGUGCAUCAUUUAUGUUUGUGUCAGAUGGAAUUGGAAAACCUUUCAAAUUCAAUACCUCUUUGAAGUGUCUGUGUUUCUCCUUGGUUCUGCUAAUGACUGAUUUCAUUGGCCAGACUUUGAACUUGUCUUUUCUACUAGGGAGAUUUGGCCCUGUAUUACUGAUUGAAAAUGACUGAAGUCUAUGUUACAUAAUGGUAACAAUAUAAGCAAUUGGAUGUGGUUUUGUAGUUUCUUUCUAGGCUUAAGUCAAUUAUUUGCCUGUCUAUGCUCCCGGGCUUCUGAAAAAUGAAGUAUGUACAACUUCUUAUUUAUUGAUCAAUUUCACUUGUUCUUUGAGAAUAUGUUUGCAAACAAGGCUUUCUUCUCCCCAGAGAUAUUGCUUUGCUUCUCCAUCCUGUGCAGUUUCUGGGCUACAACCUCAGAGUUCAAGAAGUUUUCCCAUUAUUGGAUGUCAUGUAUACUCCAUCAAGCCUUUACAAGCAAGUUUCAAGUUUACAAUGUGUAUUUUCCUUGCUUUGUCUGUGAAUUGAAAUUUUUUGAUUUGUUGUUGCUUAUUUUCACUUAUAUGGCCCAAAAAAAUGAAGCUUUAUCCUAUUUAUUUCAUACUCCAUACUAAGGUUAAAUGCUUAACAUUUGUUUGUGCAUUCUUUGUCUUCCCUGCGCAGAAACUUCCAAAGGGGCUGUCAAUCCUAUCAUGCUGUCAUAGUUGGACUAGGUAUGGUAUGACACUUAGCCUGAUAGGAUAACACAUAUGUGCAUUACAUUUACCCCUCUCCAGUCUCUAAAACAAUGAUACAUACUAGUAAAUUGAUCUUUGUAAAGAUAUAUAUCUUCAUAGACCUUAAUUUGACUAUAAUUGCCCCAAAUUAAGCUUUCUAAGUCAUCAAUUAUUGUAAGGGGCUCACAAACAGAAAGUCCCAUUAGAAGACCUGCUGCUUCUUCUCCUGCUUCUCUUCAGCCACCUUCGUCACCUCCUCUGCCUCUGAAGCUGGUCUCAGGUUCUAAAGUAAACACUCAUCUUUAUGUGGGUACUCCCUUUGAAGCAUAUUAGUCACUUCAGAUCAGAAAUUGUUAUUGAAAUUGAUGUGGAUUAAAGCCUUAAACGAUUCUCCUUGUUUACCAUUAAAAUAGAAUGCAUAAGAUCUUAUAGUUUGAUACAAUUUGUUUAUGGAGUAUGAUGAUGCUUUUUGAUACAAAAGUUGUAAUAUAUGCUCAGCGACAUGCAAUAAUAGUAAAUUACAAGUAUCACUAACAUAAAUGAACAUGGAACUACAAGUUUUUGAUAGACAAUGUGUUUAGCUUAUUUGUUUGAUAUAUGAUAAUAUUUUAAAAUUUGUGGAUCAUGUUUGUGAGCUUACUUUUUUUUUUUUUUUUUUUUUAUAAUUUUUAUCAUGUGUUAUUAUUUGUAAAUUAAUUAUUGAGCUUAUGAUCUUUCUAGUUCUUUGGAAAUGAAAUCCUUCAUGAAAAAUUCAAAAAUUGGUCGGGGCGGUAAUCAAGGCGGUGUUCGAGACAUUACUCAAUUGGUUGAUCAAUCUUGUGGUCACACAACCCACACCGCCACCACUAAUGAAUAGGUACAAGUAAAUUCUAAUGCUUAUGUUGUUGUUGAAGACAAUGUGGCACCACAAAAUUUGAAUGGAGUGGAACAAGGAAAGGUUGAACUCUCACCACAUGGGUUAUGGGAGAAUAUAUGAAAAAACUUGAGGAAUAUAAGAACAAAGGAUUUGAAAUAAACCCCGACAAAAGUCUACUUGGAGGUUGUAGGUGGGCAAAAGAAAGGAAAAGUCUACGAUUUAGGGAGUGCUUCACUAAUGUACUACAUGAGUGAUCCUACUUCUCAACUUACUGCAUCAUCUUCCACUCCUUCCAUGAUUUCUCAACUAAGCUCCCAAGCUAAAGAAAAAGAAGAUGGCGGACGAAAAACCAUAACAAGGUAGAAGAAAGCCAAAAAAAAAAAAAAAAACGAUAGAGAGCUUAAAAUAUGCUAAGGAAUUUGUCGAAAAUCAUGAGAUCGAAAAGGCUACAUGGAAGAAAG